UGGGGAAUAUUGCACAAUAGGCGCAAGCCUGAUGCAGCCAUGCCGCGUGUAUGAAGAAGGCCUUCGGGUUGUAAAGUACUUUCAGCGGGGAGGAAGGGAGUAAAGUUAAUACCUUUGCUCAUUGACGUUACCCGCAGAAGAAGCACCGGCUAACUCCGUGCCAGCAGCCGCGGUAAUACGGAGGGUGCAAGCGUUAAUCGGAAUUACUGGGCGUAAAGCGCACGCAGGCGGUUUGUUAAGUCAGAUGUGAAAUCCCCGGGCUCAACCUGGGAACUGCAUCUGAUACUGGCAAGCUUGAGUCUCGUAGAGGGGGGUAGAAUUCCAGGUGUAGCGGUGAAAUGCGUAGAGAUCUGGAGGAAUACCGGUGGCGAAGGCGGCCCCCUGGACAAAGACUGACGCUCAGGUGCGAAAGCGUGGGGAGCAAACAGG
rnacentral:rRNA from 1 species